rnacentral:rRNA from 1 species
UACGAAGGGGGCUAGCGUUGCUCGGAAUCACUGGGCGUAAAGCGCACGUAGGCGGAUUGCUAAGUCAGGGGUGAAAUCCUGGAGCUCAACUCCAGAACUGCCUUUGAUACUGGAGAGCUUGAGUCCGGAAGAGGGUGAGUGGAACUCCGAGUGUAGAGGUGAAAUUCGUAGAUAUUCGGAAGAACACCAGUGGCGAAGGCGGCUCACUGGUCCGGUACUGACGCUGAGGUGCGAAAGCGUGGGG